AGGGUGCAGGGCGGAUGCCUUGGCACUAGGAGCCGAUGAAGGACGUGAUAAGCUGCGAUAAGCUUCGGGGAGUUGCACGUAAACUUUGAUCCGAAGAUUUCCGAAUGAGGAAACUCACUUAGAGUAAUGUCUAAGUAUCAUUAAGUGAAUACAUAGCUUAAUGAGGGGAACUCAGGGAACUGAAACAUCUAAGUACCUGAAGGAAGAGAAAGAAAUUCGAUUCCGUAAGUAGCGGCGAGCGAACGCGGAUUAGCCCAAACCAAUAAAGUUUUCUUUAUUGGGGUUGCGGACAUAUCAUAACGAAGAGGUAUCGUAAUUGAAGAGGUUUGGAAAGACCCACCACAGAAGGUAAUAGUCCUGUAUGUUAAACGAGAAGACUUUAGAUAUGAUCCAGAGUACCACGGGACACGUGAAACCCUGUGGGAAGCAGGAGGGACCACCCUCCAAGGCUAAAUACUACCUAGUGACCGAUAGCGUAUAGUACCGUGAGGGAAAGGUGAAAAGAACCCCGGGAGGGGAGUGAAAUAGAACCUGAAACCCUGCACUUACAAGCUGUGGAAGCACAUUUCUUGUGUGACCGCGUACUUUUUGUAGAACGGGCCAACGAGUUACGUUAAGUAGCAAGGUUAAGCACUUAAGGUGUGGAGCCGUAGCGAAAGCGAGUUUUAACUGAGCGUUCAGUUACUUGACGUAGACCCGAAACCGGGCGACCUACCCAUGAGCAGGAUGAAGCGAAAGUAAAAUUUCGUGGAGGUCCGAACCCACGAGCGUUGAAAAGCUCGGGGAUGACUUGUGGGUAGCGGUGAAAUUCCAAUCGAGCCCGGAGAUAGCUGGUUCUCCCCGAAAUAGCUUUAGGGCUAGCCUCAAGGUGAGAGAUACGGAGGUAGAGCACUGAAUGUCCUAGGGGGUAUUGCACCUACCGAAGACUAUCAAACUCCGAAUGCCGUCAUCUUAUACUUGGGAGUCAGACUGUGGGUGAUAAGAUUCAUAGUCGAAAGGGCAACAGCCCAGAUCGUCAGCUAAGGUCCCUAAAUGUAAGUUAAGUGGUAAAGGAUGUGGGAUUGCACAGACAACCAGGAUGUUGGCUUAGAAGCAGCCACUCAUUCAAAGAGUGCGUAAUAGCUCACUGGUCGAGUGAUCCUGCGCCGAAGAUUUCCGGGGCUAAAACUUACUACCGAAGCUACGGCAUCAGUAAUGAUGGGUAGGGGAGCUUCCCAUACGGGUUGAAGCAUGACCGUAAGGACAUGUGGACAGUAUGGGAGUGAGAAUGUUGGCAUGAGUAGCGAGAUGUGGGUGAGAAUCCCACAGGCCGUAAACCCAAGGUUUCCAGGGGAAGGUUCGUCCGCCCUGGGUUAGUCGGGACCUAAGCUGAGGCCGAAAGGCGUAGGUGAUGGACAACAGGUUGAUAUUCCUGUACUACCGAUAACCGUUUGAGAGAAGGGAUGACACAGUAGGAUAAGCUAAGCACACUGUUGGUUAUGUGUGCCCAAGCAUUGAGGCAGUCAAAGUAGGCAAAUCCGCUUUGAUAAUGCUGGGAUGUGAUGGGGAGCGAAAUUUAGUAGCGAAGUAGCUGAUUUCACACUGUCAAGAAAAGUCUCUAUCGAGGUUAAAGGUACCCGUACCGCAAACCGACACAGGUGGGUGAGGAGAGUAUCCUAAGGCCAGCGAGAGAACUGUUGUUAAGGAACUCGGCAAAAUGACCCCGUAACUUAGGGAUAAGGGGUGCCACCAUCAGGUGGCCGCAGAGAAUAGGCCCAAGCGACUGUUUACCAAAAACAUAGGUUUCUGCUAAGUCGCAAGACGAUGUAUAGGAGCUGACGCCUGCCCGGUGCUGGAAGGUUAAGGGGAUCUGUUAGAGCAAUCGAAGCAGUGAACUUAAGCCCCAGUAAACGGCGGCCGUAACUAUAACGGUCCUAAGGUAGCGAAAUUCCUUGUCGGGUAAGUUCCGACCCGCACGAAAGGCGUAACGAUUUGGGCACUGUCUCAACAACAGACUCGGUGAAAUUGUAAUUCCGGUGAAGAUGCCGGAUACCUGCGACAGGACGGAAAGACCCCAUGGAGCUUUACUGUAGCUUGACAUUGGGUCUUGGUACUACAUGUACAGGAUAGGUGGGAGGCUUUGAAACCAGGACGCCAGUUUUGGCGGAGCCAUCCUUGGGAUACCACCCUUGUAGUACUGGGACUCUAACCAUAGGCCAUGAAUCUGGUCUUGGGACACUGUCAGGUGGGCAGUUUGACUGGGGCGGUCGCCUCCCAAAAGGUAACGGAGGCGCUCAAAGGUUCUCUCAGUACGGUCGGAAAUCGUACGUAGAGUGUAAAGGCAAAAGAGAGCUUGAUUGCAAGACAUACAGGUCGAGCAAGGAUGAAAAUCGGACUUAGUGAUCCGGUGGUUCUGCGUGGAAGGGCCAUCGCUCAACGGAUAAAAGCUACCCUGGGGAUAACAGGCUUAUCUCCCCCAAGAGUCCACAUCGACGGGGAGGUUUGGCACCUCGAUGUCGGCUCAUCGCAUCCUGGGGCUGAAGUAGGUCCCAAGGGUUGGGCUGUUCGCCCAUUAAAGUGGUACGCGAGCUGGGUUCAGAACGUCGUGAGACAGUUCGGUCCCUAUCCGUCGCAGGCGUAGGAAAUUUGAGAAGACCUGUCCUUAGUACGAGAGGACCGGGAUGGACGUACCUCUGGUGUACCAGUUGUCCUGCCAAGGGCAUGGCUGGGUAGCUAUGUACGGAAUGGAUAAGCGCUGAAAGCAUCUAAGCGCGAAGCCAACUUCAAGAUAAGAUUUCCCACCGCAAGGGUAAGACCCCAGAAAGACUAUCUGGUUGA
rnacentral:rRNA from 1 species